rnacentral:lncRNA from 1 species
GAUACUUAGGCUCCCCAGAGAAAUUAGUCACAAGUCUUAUCCCUUCAUCUCCAUUUACAGCCAUUUAUUUGGGAGCAACAUGCUCUAAAUGAGUGAUAAACAAAGUGUCUCCCCACAGCCCCCACCCCAGCAUGUGUUCUGAAGUUCACAGGAAGGCUUCUCCUCAUUUGCUUUGGGGCCCACAGGCUGCCUGCUAACAGCUGGGUCUUCCCAUGAACAAAUUAGACAGUAAAUGUUCCAGGAUGAAGAGGGCUUCAGGGAACAGAAUCUGCCGUUUAUUUGACUUGCUUCAUUAGACACAGUGCCAUCAUACCAAAAUUAGAAAAAAGAAGGAACUCAGCGGAAAUCAGCUACACAAGAAGAACCUCUCAGUUCUGAGAAUUCACAUUAACCAGUGAUUAAGAAAUAUUAAAAAGUUCUUGGCUGUGCUUGAGGAUGUGUAAGGCACCAGAUGUGAAAGUAAGGAAGAAAGAUGGAUGUGGAAGAAAGUCACUGCCCAAAGAAUUAGGAGACCUGGAUUCUAAUCUCAGCUCUGCCAUUAACUAGCUGUGAGACUCAAGGAUAACUAAUCAUU